rnacentral:rRNA from 1 species
UCGAGGAUCUUCGGCAAUGGGCGCAAGCCUGACCGAGCGACGCCGCGUGUGCGAUGAAGGCCUUCGGGUUGUAAAGCACUGUCGAGGGGGAGGAAAGCCGAAAGGUCUGACCUAUCCCUGGAGGAAGCACGGGCUAAGUUCGUGCCAGCAGCCGCGGUAAGACGAACCGUGCGAACGUUGUUCGGAAUCACUGGGCUUAAAGGGCGCGUAGGCGGCUGGCAAAGUCCGGGGUGAAAGCCCCCAGCUUAACUGGGGAAGUGCCUCGGAUACUGGUCAGCUCGAGGGAGGUAGGGGCGGAUGGAACUUCCGGUGGAGCGGUGAAAUGCGUUGAUAUCGGAAGGAACGCCGGUGGCGAAAGCGAUCCGCUGGCCCUCUACUGACGCUGAGGCGCGAAAGCCAGGGGAGCAAACGGGAUUAGAUACCCCCGUAGUCC